CCCUUAGAUGUCCGGGGCUGCACGCGCGCUACACUGAAGGAAUCAGCGUGCUAAAACCAUUGUCGAAAGGCAUUGGUAAACCCAUUAAAAUCCUACGUGGUUGGGAUCGGGAAUUGCAAUUAUUUCCCUUGAACGAGGAAUUCCCAGUAAGUGUGGGUCAUAAGCUCGCGUUGAUUACGUCCCUGCCCUUUGUACACACCGCCCGUCGCUGCCCGGGACUGAGCCGUUUCGAGAAAAGCGGGGACUGCUGCUGUCGGGGCUUUCGGGCCUUGGCUUCGGUGGAAACCGCUUUAAUCGCAGUGGCUUGAACCGGGCAAAAGUCGUAACA
rnacentral:rRNA from 1 species